ensembl:lncRNA
GCAGGCUGCAGCGAGUGCUACAUGUGUGCAAGCUUCCUCGUCAGAGUUUCCCAAGUCCGUUUUAAAAAAUGAGGUUUGCUUUACGUAUUUUCCAAGUGUUCAGGCAUUGCUGCCCUGCAUGGAGAACAUGGGUGUGUUUCUCUGGACACUGUGAAUAUGAAAGUCAAAGGAAAGACAGAUCGGACAUGGCUCGGGAGCCCAGGCCCAGCUCUGCCCGGCGGGGCUGGAAGAGGCCGUGGGGCAUAGCCGCCUCCCGCAGCAGCUACAGUCUGGAUUACGAACUGCACCGGGAAGACGGCCCCUGCAGGGGGUACGAACACCAGGGGGUCCCUCCCCUCCUCCACCGCGUGCCUGUCAGGAUCCGGAAGGCCCACCUGGGCACGGGGGUCAAGGGCCGCUUCAGUCCCCACAGGGCCCCCAGAAAGAGCCAGCUGCCCCCCGAGAUAAAGCUCCAGACUGAGGAGCUGCACUGCCUCAGGGGUGAGCUGAGCCACAUCAAGGCCCAGGUGGACCGCCUGCUGGAGCACGUGGAACUCAUGGAGCAGCAGACGGACCAGCUUCCAGGGACAGAGGACUGUGAACAGAACAGGGGCUCUGGGAGUCAGGGGUCCUUAUGCAGAACCACUGAACCCAGGCAGGAGCCCAGAGGCCCGAGGGCCCGUCCGGAGGCGGAAGGCUCCCAGGAGCACACAGACCCGGAGGCUGUGGGUCCUGCUUCUGCUUCUCCUACAGGUCAAGAAUCAGGCGUCAGACCAGGGCUGUCAGUAGCAGGCUGGAACCCCUCCAGGCCCAUCAGCUCCAGGCACCGUCCUUGCCUUGAGUGUUUUCUCAAGGGUCUCUCAGCAGCACCCACGCCACCCAUUCUGGAGCCAGGGACAUGGAGGCGUGGCUCAGCCAGACCAGCCAGGCACCCGGCCCUAGUGCUGGUUUUAGCUUUGUCCAGAUGGCAGUCUAGAUGCUGCAGGGAAGGGGGCGGCCCGCAGCUGCCCGGCACCAGCACACCAUCUCAUAGAGCUGAGGCCCGCUCCUGCAAGCGGAGCUGGAUGCCCACCCCCCCGGAGCAGCGUCAGCUCUCUUCCCUCUCAAAGCCCCCAGUCCUGUUUGAGCGUCC